AUAACAGAAAAAUGAAAUCGCCAAAAGAAAAUGUUUCCGAUUUAGUAUAAAUAUAACUGAGUCCUCCCAUCACGCAGACAUCAUUGUUGAAGAACAUCAAGACCAAGUUUCAAUAAGUUUAAUUAAUUCAUCGAUAGCAUAUGAUUAAUAUUUUUUACUUAUAAUUCAUUCAAUUAAUCAUACUUAUUUCUUUUGAAUUUUUCAGGCUCUAAUGAAUGAAUCCGGGUUGCUGGAUGAGUUGGGUGACUCUGAAUCUACCCUUUAGGUAAGUAAUACACUAUUCUCUUUACUCUCUUUUUUUUUCAAAACAUUUUUUUUCCCUAAAAAUGUCAACUAGGUAGGACACGUUCAGUUAUUUCAGUAUAUAUUAGUUUACCGUAAUGUUAAUCUAAACUACAUAUUUAGUUUAUAUCUAUGCUAUAAUACUAUCCUGUUGCCAUUAUGUUAUUAGUUCAUUAUAUAUAGGUAUGAUGAAAAAAAUUUAACUCAUUGGCCUACAAUCUAUUCUUUUUACUUCUGAAGUCUGUUCUGUUUGCACUAUAGAUACUGAUAAGAAAGUGUUGUUACGCCUACUUACUUGUUUUAAGUGAACUCUAUUGCCUAUAUAAUAUGAAUGAAAUUUGAUAACACAAAACAAGACGUAUUAAAGAGUACCUGCGACCCUUUUUUUUUCGACCCUUUAAGUGGCCAAACGCGUCUCGCCUUGAGCGUCAGCUAUUUUUAACACAUGUAUAAAUUUAACGGUUUUCAAAUUUUUGCUUAAAUAUGAUUUCAGAUACGUAAGGUGUUUUUGAGUAAGCUGAUAUGUAAUUAGUCCUCCUAAUUAUAUGACGACAUUUUAUAAAUGUUCCAAGUAACGAGGUAUCGAGUGCCACUGAAUGCUGUCCUGUUAUUUUAUUUUGAGCUAAACUACCACAUUCAGCAUCUCUACACUCGACCCGCGACCCCAAGAACCAGUGUUCUUCUACUCUAGACUUGGUAAUAUUAGUCCCUACAAUGCAAGUUACAUCGGUAGAGUGCAGCCAAGAGGAGAAAAAAUUAUAUUGAUAAAUAUUAUAAUAUAUAGAUAUAAUUUAAAAAAAAUCAAGAAAAAUCCAAAUCAUAUUGUUCACAUUCCAGUUUUCUUACGGCAGCAAAAAUGUAGCCGAUGAGGCCACUCUAUGUAAUAAACUAUUUAUAUAUAUAAUCCUGGUCACUCCGGCACCAAAAAUGUACCUUACCCCGUCUACUACUAAACUAAUUAACUAAAAUUCAACCAGGAUUAAAUAAAAAUAGGAAAAUAAAUAAAUUUGGCCAUGUGAUCGUCUAGUGUAUUUACGUUGUGAACCUUAGUACCCUUCGUCUUUUAUGUGAAAACUGAUACGAUUUGGAUUUUUCAAAACUAUCCCUAAAUAUCCUAUGA